UACGAAGGGGGCUAGCGUUGCUCGGAAUCACUGGGCGUAAAGCGCACGUAGGCGGAUUGCUAAGUCAGGGGUGAAAUCCUGGAGCUCAACUCCAGAACUGCCUUUGAUACUGGCGACCUUGAGUCCGGGAGAGGUGAGUGGAACUCCGAGUGUAGAGGUGAAAUUCGUAGAUAUUCGCAAGAACACCAGUGGCGAAGGCGGCUCACUGGCCCGGUACUGACGCUGAGGUGCGAAAGCGUGGGGAGCAAACAGG
rnacentral:rRNA from 1 species